CUGGAUGAUUCUAUUGCUUUGACUCUUUAUUGGAAUGAUUACUGUGUUGCUUUUUGGAACUGCCUCUGACUAAAUCUUUUGAGAAUGGAUUUGCCUCCUGACAGUGAAGGUGUUGUUGUCUUGGAGCAGGCAGGGAGGCCAGCAUGGGCUCUCAUUGCCUCUCUUGUGCAGGAGGGUGGCAGUCCACCAGCAGCAGCCUUGGGGAGAAGCCCAGGUUCCCAGAAAACAGCCUGCCAGCCGUGAGAGAGGAGAAGCGGCUGUUGCGGAGAAAGAGGCAAACGAACCGGCUUUUUGACAGUCAGCUGAUUUGGGGCUUCAAACUGGACCCAUUCGGGCGCUGUUGGUUAUUUGAACCAGGGACCUCAAAGAGUGUUAAAUAUAAGAGAUAGGCAUGCUUGGAGUGUUUCUGAUGAAGUUAGGGUCCAAUUUGUUCCGUUUCAAUGGCAAGGAGAACGUGGCGAGGUUAAUGGAGGAAGGAGGGGAGGGAUUUCAUGCAAAGGAGUCAAAAAGGAUACAAAAAAACCACUGGAGAGGAUUUCAAGUUAAAAGGAAAGGAUACUUUUUAUUUAAGGAUUAGUAGUUACAAGAUCCUAAUUUGGACUUAACAGCCUUAUAACUACUGGGGGUUCA
rnacentral:lncRNA from 11 species